rnacentral:ncRNA from 1 species
AAAAAAUUGAAAAUAGUGCUUGCAAUUUGGAUUUAUAUAUGCUAUACUAAUCAAGUACUAAAAAUUCUAUGAAAAAUUAAAUACCGCGGGGUGGAGCAGUUCGG